rnacentral:rRNA from 1 species
CCUACGGGAUGCAGCAGUGGGGGAUAUUGCACAAUGGGGGAAACCCUGAUGCAGCGACGCCGCGUGUGGGAAGACGGUCCUCUGGAUUGUAAACCACUGUCCCCAGGGACGAAGAUGACGGUACCUGGGGAGGAAGCUCCGGCUAACUACGUGCCAGCAGCCGCGGUAAUACGUAGGGAGCGAGCGUUGUCCGGAAUUACUGGGUGUAAAGGGAGCGUAGGCGGGGAUGCAAGUUGGGUGUCAAAACUACCGGCUCAACUGGUAGUCGCACUCAAAACUGCAGCUCUUGAGUGAAGUAGAGGCAGGCAGAACUCCUAGUGUAGCGGUGAAAUGCGUAGAAAUUAGGAGGAACACCAGUGGGGAGGGCGGCCUGUUGGGCUUUUACUGACGGUGAGGCUCGAAAGUGUGGGGAGCAAACAGGAUUAGAUACCCCAGUAGUC